GUUUCUGUGAGGUUCACUGCAUUUUUGAAUUUACUCCUCUCUGUUAGAAACAACAUGGAUCUGUUGGCGUGUGGGGUUGAAAUGGUUACAGAAGUGGAAGGCCAUGGAGAAUCAGACCCCUCUCUCUAGCCUUGAAUGGUCAUGAGAUGAGGAUCCUCAUCUGCUGACUUCAAGAGUUGCAGGUAGACAACUGACACAGUGG